rnacentral:lncRNA from 1 species
AGGAAGCUGCCAUUCAUUCGACAUAAGUAGGUGCUUCAUCUGAUAAGCGCUGCUUGUGUAAUUUAUCAAUGACAGAGAAGGCAGAUAGCAGCAUGCAUACUUGGGGCUGCAUUUGAAGGAGAGCAACAUCCCUUUGUUUUCACAGAGGAGAACAAGCAUGAGUUGAGAUUGUGGUGCUUCUUGAAGUCUCAUCCAGAUCAGAAACCUGCUGCUCUGUCCACAUUCCAUCCACCAAAGCAACCCAUAUGGCCAUGUCCAGCAUCAGAUGGGGAAAGGCAGUUCUCCUCUAGCACGAGGAGCUGCAAAGCCACAUGGCAAAGGAUGAGUGUGUAAAAAAUAAAUGCAGGAGGGCAGGAGGCAUUGGGAACAA